GGGCCAGGGCUAGGAGCCAGGACCGGCUUCCAACUAGUCCGUGUGGGUUCGAAUCCCACCUGGUCCA
rnacentral:tRNA from 1 species